CUUGACCUCAAAUCAGGUAGGACUACCCGCUGAACUUAA
rnacentral:rRNA from 6 species